CACUACUUCCUUUUACCAUUCGUUUCAUCUUCUUUCUCCGAUCACCGUCGUUCUUCCUCUACUCGCCGGAACCACAGCCUCUGCACUGCCGUCCACGACACCGGACUCCUCCAUCCUCCUGUCUCCGUCGAUCUCUAGACGCCGUAUACUUUUGUUCCUUUUCUCCCAUCUUUUUUUUUAUCGUCCUCUCGGUUUCCCCUUCCAAAUCUCACUCUAAACACCGUCGCCGGCGACAAGUAACAGCAAGGCUGUUCUUUUUCCGAUCUUCAUAUCUCAGUUACUUUCCAGUUGCUUGGAUCAACCUAACAAUAUACGAAUUUAUGCCAUGGAAGAUGUUUCUACAGAGUUGUUUUAUUAUCACAAACCUAAGAUCCCAUGGCUCUGAUCUUGCAUUUCCUUAUUGUUGGAAUCGGUGAUCUCGAAACUAUAAUCAGGUGAUCUGAAGCUGUGAAGGUGUGUCUGAAACACUUACAAGAUAAACUUAUUUAUAGGAAAGGAAAAGCAAAAACAACUGGCUACCGAAGGCUAUUACCGGAAACAAAUUCAACAUAUAAACAGUGAAAAGUUGGGAGCACUACUGAAAAGUAUGCCACAAUUUUCAAACUUAGAAAAGCAAGCUGCUUUUGUCUUUGUCUUUGUCUGCCACCAUUGUCUUAUACAGCUGUUAAGAUAACAGGUGUAUUUUAUCUUCAUGCUUUACAGGAAUUUGUCAGCCAGUCUUUUGAGAGCUUUUUCUUUGAAAAAUAUUCUCCAUUUGUUUUUUGCUUCUUCAUCAUCAUUAUGGAACUUGAGAAAUGUGUAGGCAGC